rnacentral:rRNA from 1 species
UACGUAGGGUCCGAGCGUUGUCCGGAAUUACUGGGCGUAAAGAGCUCGUAGGUGGUUUGUCGCGUUGUUCGUGAAAACUCACAGCUCAACUGUGGGCGUGCGGGCGAUACGGGCAGACUUGAGUACUGGAGAGGAGACUGGAAUUUACGGUGUAGCAGUGAAAUGCGUAGAUAUCGUAAGGAAGACCAGUGGCGAAGGCGAGUCUCUGGACAGUUACUGACGCUGAGGCCCGAAGGCCAGGGGAGCAAACGGG